UCAGAACCCUUUCUUCUUCCCUUCAUAUGAGAAGACCAAACCCUUUCUUCUUCGCUUCGUAUGAGUCUGAUUGCAUAACCCUAGCCCCUUGCCCCUUCCCCUUACUUCUCUGUCUUUGUUCUCAAAAAUUUUCGAUCCACGACAAAGGGUGACAACAAUAGAGAUCUGUUCGCUUCUUCUCCUCCAUUUCUCUUCACAAAUCCCAAUUGUUGAAAACCCAAUCGAGGACGAAAUUGCAGCGUAGGAGGGCGGUUGCAGGAGUGGGAGGGUGAUUGCAGUGACCAAGGGCGAGCAUCAAUAGAGAGAUCUACUAUCUUUUUAAAUGGUGGAACUGUUGCAGAGGCAAUAUUGGAUUUCAGCGGCUGUUUUGUGGCUUGUGUCUACGAGACAUCGGCUUGCUGAUGGACUUCACUUUAAUUAUUUCAGUUAUUUCUGUUGAUGUAUAUAUUGAUGACAUAUGUAAUGUAAAUAUUAUACAUGUGGGUUGUUAACAAAUGGAUCCUGUAUAUUUGUAAAAUUAUCAUGUAGUGGAUCACCAGUGUUAUUGUA